rnacentral:pre_miRNA from 1 species
AAUAAGAUCAUUUUUCAGUUUUCUGAUACAAUGUUUUGACUCUUCGUCGUAUUUGAAAAUUUUUUGUGAUUGAUAUUUUUAUUCUUACUAGAUGAUAAAAUAUGAAUAAUACUUUAUGUGUGACAAAUUUUUUAAAGUUUUUUUACAAUUUUUCAAAUAAGACGAAUGGUCAAACGUUGGACACGGGAAAACGAAAAAUGAAGUUAGU